rnacentral:lncRNA from 1 species
CACCGGACUAUUCAAGGCAAAUCAAUACUAUGUGCAUAUUACUUCAAACAUUCAAGACAUAAAAUCGAAAUCUAACAACUGAACUUCUGAGAUUUUUUAACAUAACAUUAACUACACCUCAAACUAACAACACUUAAUGCUCACACGAGACGCAGCAUCCAUUUCCAUACUUGUUUUUGCCAUUAUCACUUAGAUCCACAGCAUGUUCCAGGUAUCAGUUAAAUCAAACACUUCAAUCAAAGUUAUAACAUUGCCAACAGAUUCAAACAACUGAAGCACAUGAACUAGAAGUACAUCCAAAAUUUCAUUACGAAUCAGAGAUGAGAUACAUGAUUGAGAUAUGUACCUGUUCGCUUAGUAAUCAACCUUAAAUUGCCAAAUAAAAGCUAGAAAGGAGGAAAAGUUGGAGCUCAGAUGCAGUUUAUUCGCAAAACAGCUUCAAUUACCAGUUGAAAUCAACUUGAAACCCCAGGGAAGUAUGAAUAAAAUCUUCAACACUCGAUUUAACCUUUCUUUUUUUUUUCUUUUUUUUUCGCGUUUUUUCAGAGCUUUUGUUUUUGUUCUCAGACCUUCAAUGGAGCCUUCUUUUACAUUAAAACAUUAAUAUUGCUUGCUUUAUACUCCAAGAAAUUGCAGGUCUUCCGACACAAGUUCCUUUGUGUGAUUUUAGGUCUAUCUUGUUCCCUUUUAAGACCUUCACUCAUAUAGUUUUCACCUACAAACCGGUGCAACUUUAACCAUUCUCUCAGUUUAAGCUCUAUGUGUCCUAUUUGCACCUUCUGCUACACGUGAUUACAUUUAAUCUAGUAUGACUUCACGUUCAUCUUAACAUUCACAUUUCUACGAUAUUCUUUAAUGUCAAUAGACACUAAUCUGAAUGUCUAUUUUCUUAGUCAAAAUUGAAACCAUAAUCAUCCAAAUGGUCUCAACUACAUAUAUUCCUCCUAUAUAUCACAUAACCAAAUAGAUCUACCUUUUACUAGAGUCAUAGACAAGUAAACAUAAAACAUCAUAUCAAAAACCCUAGCGUACAACAAAUAAAUACAAGUAUCAAUUUCUAAGAGCAAGAUGCUUCAACAUAAAAAUCAAAAGACAUAUGGGGAAUCGGCAACAGAAACAAAGCCUAACCUUUUGCGAGGAGAAUCAGCCUGCAAAGAAUCAAGCAUAUGUUCAAUUAGUUGAAUUGGCAACAAUAAUCAGAGAAAAUGGAUUAAUGCAAUCACUGUCUAAAACACGCAAAAACACAUACUGAUACACCCAGGUAGGAUGAGAGAGAGCUCUUACCAUUUCCAACGAGACGAGAAAACCCUAAAUCGCCAAAAGGGGGAGAAAG